AUGAUACUCUGUCCAACAAAAGAUGUCUCAAGUUUGUCAAAAUUAUGGUAUAUCUAAACAUGACUUAGUGUAUAGAUGCAUUUAAAUUUAAUCAAAGUUGAGACAUCCUUUGUUGGACAGAUGAAUAUUUA
rnacentral:pre_miRNA from 1 species